rnacentral:rRNA from 1 species
UACGUAGGGUGCAAGCGUUGUCCGGAAUUAUUGGGCGUAAAGAGCUCGUAGGCGGUCUGUCGCGUCUGCUGUGAAAACCCAGGGCUUAACCCUGGGCUUGCAGUGGAUACGGGCAGGCUAGAAUUCGGUAGGGGAGACUGGAAUUCCUGGUGUAGCGGUGAAAUGCGCAGAUAUCAGGAGGAACACCGGUGGCGAAGGCGGGUCUCUGGGCCGAUAUUGACGCUGAGGAGCGAAAGCGUGGGGAGCGAACAGG